GAUGAAGAACGUAGCGAAAUGCGAUAAGUAAUGCGAAUUGCAGAAUUUCCGUGAGUCAUCGAAUCUUUGAACGCACAUUGCGCCCACUGGUAUUCCGGUGGGCAUGCCUGUUCGAGCGUCAUUAUCCUCCCUCAAACCUCGGGUUUGGUGUUGGACCCAAGUUGUGUGAACAACUGGUCUCAAAGACAAUGACGGCGUCCGUGGGACCCUCGGUGCAACGAGCUUUUAAACGAGCACGCGUCGAGUUUCAAGGACCUUCCGGGCCGGUCUCCUUCUUUUUAUUUACAAAGGUUGACCUCGGAUCAGGUAGGAAUACCCGCUGAACUUAAGCAUAUCAAUAAGCGGAGGA
rnacentral:misc_RNA from 1 species